rnacentral:rRNA from 1 species
AUUGAACGCUGGCGGCAGGCCUAACACAUGCAAGUCGAGCGAGCGGCGGACGGGUGAGUAUUGUAUGGGGACUGCCCGAUAGAGGGGGAUAACUACUGGAAACGGUAGCUAAUACCGCAUACUAUCGGAUAACCCAUAUGGGAUUAGCUAGUAGGUGAGGUAAUGGCUCACCUAGGCGAUGAUCCCUCGCUGGUCUGAGAGGAGGAUCAUCAACACGGGGACUGCGACAGGGCCCGGACGCCUACGGAGGCAGCAGUGGGGAAUAUUGCACAAUGGGCGAAAGCCUGAUGCAGCCAUGCCGCGUGUAUGAAGAAGGCCCUAGGGUUGUAAAGUACUUUCAGUCGGGAGGCGUUACCGACAGAAGAAGCACCGGCUAACUCCGUGCCAGCAGCCGCGGUAAUUC